GACGAACGCUGGCGGCGGGCUUAACACAUGCAAGUCGAACGGAAAGGUCGUGCUUUGGGGGGGUGCGCGAGGGGCGAACGGGUGAGUAACACGUGAGUAACGUGCCCUUGACUUUGGGAUAACUUCAGGAAACUGGGGCUAAUACCGGAUAGGAGCUCCUGCUGCAUGGUGGGGGUUGGUAAGUUUAGGCGGUUGGGGAGGGACACGCGGCGUAUCAGCUUGAUGGGGGGGUGGUGGCUUACCAAGGCUUGGAGAGGUAGCGGGGCUGGGAGGGUGACAGGCCACACUAGAGCUGGGCUGAGACCCAGCCUACUACGGGAGGCAACGCUGCAGAAUGUUGUCCAGCGGGAGGGGGCCUAAUCCGACGACGCCGCGUGGGGGAUAUCAGCAAUGUCGUAGUAAACCAAUUUCCCCUGUCCCGAAGCGUUAGUGACGGUACUGGGUGAAGAAGCACCGGCUAACUACGUG
rnacentral:rRNA from 1 species